rnacentral:tRNA from 1 species
UCCUUGGUGGUCUAAUAGCUAAGACUGUACUCCCAAUGCAGAGGGCCCAGGUUUGAUCCCUGGCCAGAGAA